GACGAACGCUGGCGGCGUGCUUAACACAUGCAAGUCGAACGGAAAGGCCCUGCUUUUGUGGGGUGCUCGAGUGGCGAACGGGUGAGUAACACGUGAGUAACCUGCCCUUGACUUUGGGAUAACUUCAGGAAACUGGGGCUAAUACCGGAUAGGAGCUCCUGCUGCAUGGUGGGGGUUGGAAAGUUUCGGCGGUUGGGGAUGGACUCGCGGCUUAUCAGCUUGUUGGUGGGGUAGUGGCUUACCAAGGCUUUGACGGGUAGCCGGCCUGAGAGGGUGACCGGCCACAUUGGGACUGAGAUACGGCCCAGACUCCUACGGGAGGCAGCAGUGGGGAAUAUUGCACAAUGGGCGGAAGCCUGAUGCAGCAACGCUGCGUGCGGGAUGACGGCCUUCGGGUAGUAAACCGCUUUCGCCUGUGACGAAGCGUGAGUGACGGUAAUGGGUAAAGAAGCACCGGCUAACUACGUGCCAGCAGCCGCGGUGAUACGUAGGGUGCGAGCGUUGUCCGGAUUUAUUGGGCGUAAAGGGCUCGUAGGUGGUUGAUCGCGUCGGAAGUGUAAUCUUGGGGCUUAACCCUGAGCGUGCUUUCGAUACGGGUUGACUUGAGGAAGGUAGGGGAGAAUGGGAUUCCUGGUGGAGCGGUGGAAUGCGCAGAUAUCAGGAGGAACACCAGUGGCGAAGGCGGUUCUCUGGGCCUUUCCUGACGCUGAGGAGCGAAAGCGUGGGGAGCGAACAGGCUUAGAUACCCUGGUAGUCCACGCUGUAAACGGUGGGUACUAGGUGUGGGGUCCAUUCCACGGGUUCCGUGCCGUAGCUAACGCUUUAAGUACCCCGCCUGGGGAGUACGGCCGCAAGGCUAAAACUUAAAGGAAUUGACGGGGCCCCGCACAAGCGGCGGAGCAUGCGGAUUAAUUCGAUGCAACGCGUAGAACCUUACCUGGGUUUGACAUGGAUCGGGAGCGCUCAGAGAUGGGUGUGCCUCUUUUGGGGUCGGUUCACAGGUGGUGCAUGGCUGUCGUCAGCUCGUGUCGUGAGAUGUUGGGUUAAGUCCCGCAACGAGCGCAACCCUUGUUCACUGUUGCCAGCACGUUAUGGUGGGGACUCAGUGGAGACCGCCGGGGUCAACUCGGAGGAAGGUGGGGAUGACGUCAAGUCAUCAUGCCCCUUAUGUCCAGGGCUUCACGCAUGCUACAAUGGCUGGUACAGAGAGUGGCGAGCCUGUGAGGGUGAGCGAAUCUCGGAAAGCCGGUCUCAGUUCGGAUUGGGGUCUGCAACUCGACCUCAUGAAGUCGGAGUCGCUAGUAAUCGCAGAUCAGCAACGCUGCGGUGAAUACGUUCCCGGG
rnacentral:rRNA from 1 species